rnacentral:lncRNA from 13 species
UCCACCUGGUCGAGCUGCUACUCCAGUUUCAACUGUUCUUCCUGACCUGUUCACCGGACUUGCUACCUUGUCCCAGACCUGCUGUUUUCUACUCUCUCUCUACCUCACCUGCUGUCGUGAACACUGAAUAAUCGGCUCUGAAAAGCCAACUGACAUUUACGCCUGAGGGUCAUUGUCUUGGGAAACAUUUGUUGAGCCCUGAGGGUAGGGUCAAGUGUGGGGACAAACCUGGGGCUGAUCCUGGAGUCAACGUGGGACCCUCUGAGGAAACACAGCCUCCUGUAAGAAACACAUUGUUAUUGUAUUUAUUAUGUUUAUUUACCAUCACCUAUUAAUGUAAUAA